GAUGAACGCUGGCGGCGUGCUUAACACAUGCAAGUCGAACGGAAAGGCUCCUGCUUGCAGGGGUACUCGAGUGGCGAACGGGUGAGUAACACGUGGGUGAUCUGCCCUGCACUUCGGGAUAAGCCUGGGAAACUGGGUCUAAUACCGGAUAGGACGAUGGUUUGGAUGCCAUUGUGGAAAGUUUUUCGGAGUGGGAUGAGCUCGCGGCCUAUCAGCUUGUUGGUGGGGUAAUGGCCUACCAAGGCGUCGACGGGUAGCCGGCCUGAGAGGGUGUACGGCCACAUUGGGACUGAGAUACGGCCCAGACUCCUACGGGAGGCAGCAGUGGGGAAUAUUGCACAAUGGGCGCAAGCCUGAUGCAGCGACGCCGCGUGGGGGAUGACGGCCUUCGGGUUGUAAACUCCUUUCGCUAGGGACGAAGCGCAAGUGACGGUACCUGGAGAAGAAGCACCGGCUAACUACGUG
rnacentral:rRNA from 1 species